AGCGAAAUGCGAUACUUGGUGUGAAUUGCAGAAUCCCGUGAACCAUCGAGUCUUUGAACGCAAGUUGCGCCCGAAGCCACUAGGCCAAGGGCACGCCUGCCUGGGUGUCACCAAUCGUUGCCCCAACCCCAGCGCCUCCGGGCGCCGGGCGGGGCGAAUACUGGCCUCCCGCGAGCGAGGGCCUCGCGGCUGGCCGAAAAUCGGGUCCGUGGCGGAGCGUAGCGCCAUGACAGACGGUGGUUGAGUGCAUUCUCGAGGCCAGUCGUGCGCGCGCGUCCCUCCGCCGGCUGCGGACCCUGCGGCCCGCGAGCGGCGUUGAUCGCCCAUGAUGCGACCUCAGGUCAGGCGG
rnacentral:rRNA from 1 species